GAUGAACGCUAGCGGCAGGCCUAACACAUGCAAGUCGAGGGGUAGCAGGAUUAAGCUUGCUUAAUUGCUGACGACCGGCGCACGGGUGCGUAACGCGUAUGCAACCUACCUUAUACUGGGGUAUAGCCCGGAGAAAUUCGGAUUAAUCCCCCAUAGUACUAAUGAAUCGCAUGGUUUAUUAGUUAAAGCAUUGCGGUAUAAGAUGGGCAUGCGUCCUAUUAGCUAGAUGGUGAGGUAACGGCUCACCAUGGCUACGAUAGGUAGGGGGCCUGAGAGGGUGGUCCCCCACACGGGUACUGAGACACGGACCAGACUCCUACGGGAGGCAGCAGUGAGGAAUAUUGGUCAAUGGGCGCAAGCCUGAACCAGCCAUGCCGCGUGCAGGAAGAAUGCCCUAUGGGUAGUAAACUGCUUUUAUUUGGGAAUAAACCUCUUUACGUGUAGAGAGCUGAAGGUACCAAAUGAAUAAGCACCGGCUAACUCCGUGCCAGCAGCCGCCGUAA
rnacentral:rRNA from 1 species